rnacentral:tRNA from 1 species
GAAAUAUGAUGCCCAAAAAAAAGCUGCUAACUUUUUUUUUUAGCGGUUAAAUUCCGUUUAUAUUUCU